rnacentral:lncRNA from 1 species
UGGCCCAAUAAUUCUGCUUCUGAAUACACGUGUUGAAGAGAUUCUCACACAUAUCCACAGGGUGCCUGUGCAGCAGUAUUCACUGUGAUAGGAAGUGAGAAGCAGUCUGAGUGUUCAUUGCUGAGGGAAUCAAGGGCAAAAUAUCAUGGAUGCACUCAUGGACAAAUAAGCAGCAGUUUGAAGCAACAACCUAGAUGGAUGUACAGCCAUCAAGAGGAUCUUAAAGUGUGGUCUUUAGUGGAAAAAAAGGUUACAUUUGAACAUAUUUAUCUGCUAAAGCAAAAUAAUUCCCAUCAUUCUAUAGCAGAAGCAAUGUAUGGGAGACUGAGUAAUUACAUAUAAGCUCACAUCACUAUCUCUUCCACCACUGUCAUCCAUCAUGACUGAUCUGGGAGAUGAAACAGCACAGAUCUAAAGGACGUGCUUAUUUUGGGAGAGACCAGCCGCCAUGUCAUGAAGACACUCAAGAAGCCCUGUGAAGAGGGAGCAAGGCCUGCCAACAACAGCCAGCACCAACUUUCCAGCCAAGGGACUGAGCCAUCUCACAGUGGAUCCUCCAGCCCCCACCAAGACUUCAUAUGACCAAACCAAUACCAACAUGUAACUGUGACCUCAUGUGAGUCCCCAAGCCAGAAUACCCAUCUCCUGUCUCAUAGAAAUGAUGAGAAAUAAUAAAUAUAUGUGCUCACACAUAUUACCAUCUAAUUUUCUACAUUAUAUGUUUAUUUCCCCACUGUAUAUAAGAUCCAAGGACUGUUUUCUUUUUCACUGCUAUAUUCCAAGAACCUAGAACAAAUCUGGCAUAUGGUAAGUAUACAAUAAAUAUCUGUUGAAUUAAUUAAUGGGAAAAAAUAAAUGAAUGAUGAACGGCUGCUCUGGAAAAAAUACCUUGAAGAGUGGCAGGAGCGGAAAGAGGAGGAUCAGAUGGGAGGCUAACAGCCAGCACCACCUUGCCAGCCAAGUGACUGAGCCAUCUUGCAGUGGAUCCUCCAGCCCCCAUCAAGCCCCAACUAAGCCACUAAGUUUCAUGGUAAUUUCUUACACUGCAAUAAAUAACUAAUACUGGACCAGUGAGAAAAGGAGUCAAGAAUAAUCUCAGCUUUCUACCUUUAAUAACUUAAUGGAUAGUGGUGCUAUUAAUCAAGUCAGGAAAGAGAAAGGACAAUAAUUACACCUAUAGUAUUACCCAAAGUCAUGAUAAAUUAUUUUCCAUAUGCUCUUGCUAAAAUUUAUGUAGUCAUUCAACUUAUUUUAUUGAGUAUCUACCAUGAAACUGGCAAUAUGGAAGAACCUUCUGAUAUAGAACUGAAUAUAAUUUAGUCACUGCCCUCAAGUAAUAAGUCUGGAGAAUCAAGAAUCUGAAAAAUGUUUGUAGCUUUUGUUCAAAAUUUUCUCUCAGCCAUUUAAAGGGAAAAUUAUGAAGAUUGUAUAGUGGUGACAGACUGGGAUAGCAGUCCACAAAAACUUAGGAAGCCCUUCCAUAGCACAGAGUCAAUGCUGAGGAACAGCUGCCCAGCCAGGGGCUACAUUUUCCAACCCACCCUUGCAUCUAGGUGUGGCCACAUGGUGCAUUUGGACAAUGGGUGAUAAACUAGUAUGAGAAUGAGAACAGAAGUAAUGUGUGUUUCUUCUAGGCUGAGGAUAUCAGAAAACAAACAUAUCAUCUCUACACUGCUUAUUUCUCUUUCUACAGAUUCAGUACAGGUAAUCAUGUGGCUCUAGGCAAUGCCAGAGUCACAAGAGGGAAGGAAACUGGGUCCCCAUCCCAUUUGGUAGACAAGAGUCUUUGCCCACCAGGGACAUCCUCAUUGGACUAUGGUGUGAGUGAGAAAUAACAUUCUAUUGUUUUUAAGGCAAUAAAAAUUGCCUACAUUUCAGGUUUAUUUAUUACAACCACCCACAUUUUCUUAAGCAGUAGCGAAAGAAACAUAAACGACAGUUUAAUGCCAAAUCAAAAAUGUCAAAUGCAAAAUUAUUUUAUGCUAUUACAGUAUAAAAUUAUGUCCACUUUGGGGCAAGGACUUAGAAAAAUGCAGAAAUAAACAUGUAAAGUUAUUAAGUAGGAACAAUUAUAGAUACAUUUUUAUCUUAUUAAAUUUCAGUUAUUUUUGAAAAGGUAAUAUACAUUCUGUUUAAGAAGGUUAAAGUGAGUAAUUACACUUGAAUAAAGUUUCAACCUGAAAUACUUUAGUUAUAAUUGGAGAAUUACCAGAAGAUUAAAUUCUAGAUAUCUGGAAAUUUUACCUAUGUGAGAUCUGCUCAUUAACCCAUCAAUACCAGAGAGAAGAGGUAUUGCUGGACAUGGUCCUAUCAUCUGGGGGAUAAGUACUGGAGGAGAUGUGAAAGAGAGGGUGAUGGGGCUUCUAAGGUAAGACAUGGAAAAUUGUGAAGAUAUGUGUGUCCCUUAUGGACACUCACAAAAUGGUGACCUAGGCAGAGGAGGAUUUUAAUAAUAGGAUGACCAGUUCUGUGGAUGUCAAUGAGUGGCUUUCCCCCAGCCAUUCCUGUCAUUGUCCAAUGGGCUCAUGAGCCAAGUGGCUGAUAUGGUUUAGAUGUUUGUCUCCUCCAAAUCUCAUAUUGAAAUGUAAUCCUCAGUGUUAGCGGUGGGGCCCAGUGAGAGGUGUUUGGAUCAUGGGGGCGAGUCCCUCAUGAAUGGUCUAGCACCAUGCCCUUGACGAUAAGUGUGUUCUCGCUCUGAGUUUACAUGAG